UACGUAGGGCGCAAGCGUUAUCCGGAAUUAUUGGGCGUAAAGAGCUCGUAGGCGGUUUGUCGCGUCUGCCGUGAAAUCCCGGGGCUCAACCCCGGGACUGCAUUCGAUACUGUCAGGCUAGAGGUAGGUAGGGGGAGAUCGGAAUUCCUGGUGUAGCGGUGAAAUGCGCAGAUAUCAGGAGGAACACCGGUGGCGAAGGCGGAUCUCUGGGCCUUACCUGACGCUCGAGGCGCGAAAGCUAGGGAGCGAACAGG
rnacentral:rRNA from 1 species